UGGGCCCUGAUAUUCUGCUUUUAUCUGUUGGCAUACCAAACAUCUGGAUACAAAUUUAGCUAUUUCCCUCUUUAUGCCCUUCCACCAAUAGCUUUGUUUGACAGUUUGAAACAUUUUGGUAUUGCCUCGAUGCAUGACAUAGGUUGAACAGUGAGCUUCUUCCAUUAUCUGAUUCUUAAGAUUUCUUACUUUCGAAACACAAACUUGAUAUCCAUACAUCAAGGUGCCAUCCUCUUUGAUUGUGAAGUUUGGUCGAAGUCCAUUUUGAAUAGC
rnacentral:lncRNA from 1 species